GAAUCAACGCUGGCGGCGUGCCUAACACAUGCAAGUCGAACGCGAAAGUUCCUUCGGGGAUGAGUAGAGUGGCGUCCGGGUGAGUAACGCGUGGGUAAUCUACCUUCGGGUGGGGAAUAACCAGUCGAAAGAUUGGCUAAUACCGCAUAAAGCAACUGUUUCCAUGAAGUGGUUGUUAAAGGAGCAAAUCCGCCUGAAGAGGAGCCUGCGUCUGAUUAGCUAGUUGGCGGGGUAACGCCCACCAAGGCUACGAUCGGUAGCUGGUCUGAGAGGACGGCCAGCCACAAUGGCACUG
rnacentral:rRNA from 1 species